AGGUUUCAACUUUCUUGGGACUAUCCCAUCCAAUUUGUCCCAACAACCGUUUUGGAGCUAUUACAUUAGCACAGUGCAGGUCUCUUGGUCUGGUGCGUUGGGAGAAUGUCUCGUAAAUUUUCAGGGACGCCUCCUCACAAUUUAUAACCGAGACGAGGAUGAAUUUAUACGGAUAAGGUUAAGGUUACAAGCAGAAGGGUUAGGGUCAGAAUACGAAAAUGUCUGGUCUUCUGGGAAAUAUAAUGUUCAAACAUCAAAGUGGGAGUGGGCAUCGACUGGAGUAGGAAUCACCUAUGAAAAUUGGGCCGAACCUCCUAUCGUCGGUGCCGGAAGGUGUUUGUGUGUCGUUGG